GACGAACGCUGGCGGCGUGCUUAACACAUGCAAGUCGAACGAUGAACCCGGAGCUUGCUCCGGCGGAUUAGUGGCGAACGGGUGAGUAACACGUGAGUAACCUGCCCUUGACUCUGGGAUAACUGCUAGAAAUGGUAGCUAAUACCGGAUACGACCCUCGGUGGCAUCACCAGGGGGUGGAAAGAAUUUCGGUCAAGGAUGGACUCGCGGCCUAUCAGCUAGUUGGGGAGGUAACGGCUCACCAAGGAGACGACGGGUAGCCGGCCUGAGAGGGUGACCGGCCACACUGCGACUGAGACACGGCCCGUACUCCUACGGCAGGCAGCAGUGGGGAAUAUUGAACAAUGGGCGCAAGCCUGAUGCAGCAACGCCGCGUGAGGGAUGACGGCCUUCGGGUUGUAAACCGCUUUUAGUAGGGAAGAAGCGAAAGUGACGGUACCUGCAGAAAAAGCACCGGCUAACUACGUGCCAGCCGCCGAGGUAA
rnacentral:rRNA from 1 species